GAUGAACGCUGGCGGCGUGCCUAAUACAUGCAAGUCGAGCGAACGGACGAGAAGCUUGCUUCUCUGAUGUUAGCGGCGGACGGGUGAGUAACACGUGGAUAACCUACCUAUAAGACUGGGAUAACUUCGGGAAACCGGAGCUAAUACCGGAUAAUAUUUUGAACCGCAUGGUUCAAAAGUAAAAGACGGUCUUGCUGUCACUUAUAGAUGGAUCCGCGCUGCAUUAGCUAGUUGGUAAGGUAACGGCUUACCAAGGCAACGAUGCAUAGCCGACCUGAGAGGGUGAUCGGCCACACUGGAACUGAGACACGGUCCAGACUACUACGGGAGGCAGCAGUAGGGAAUCUUCCGCAAUGGGCGAAAGCCUGACGGAGCAACGCCGCGUGAGUGAUGAAGGUCCUCGGAUCGUAAAACUCUGUUAUUAGGGAAGAACAUAUGUGUAAGUAACUGUGCACAUCUUGACGGUACCUAAUCAGAAAGCCACGGCUAACUACGUG
rnacentral:rRNA from 1 species